CAAUAGCGUAUAUUUAAGUUGUUGCAGUUAAAAAGCUCGUAGUUGGAUUUCGGGUGGGACGCAGCGGUCUCGCAUUGCGUUUGUACUGCUGCAGCCCUCCUUCUUGCCGGGGGCGGCCUCUCGGACUUCACUGUCUGGGGGUCAGAAUCGGCGAUGUUACUUUGAGUAAAUUAGAGUGUUCAAAGCAAGCUUACGCUCUGAAUAUAAUAGCAUGGGAUAACACGACAGGACUCUGGCCUAUCGUGUUGGUCUAUAGGACCAGAGUAAUGAUUAAGAGGGACAGUCGGGGGCAUUCGUAUUCCGUUGUCAGAGGUGAAAUUCUUGGAUUUACGGAAGACGGACUACUGCGAAAGCAUUUGCCAAGGAUGUUUUCAUUGA
rnacentral:rRNA from 1 species